rnacentral:rRNA from 1 species
GAUGAACGCUAGCGGCAGGCUUAAUACAUGCAAGUCGAGGGGCAGCAGUUUUGUAGCAAUACAGAAGCUGGCGACCGGCAAACGGGUGCGGAACACGUACGCAACCUUCCUUUAACUGGGAGAUAGCCCACCGAAAGGUGGAUUAAUAUCCCAUAAUAUAACUGAAUGGCAUCAUUUAGCUAUUAAAGCUCCGGCGGUUAAAGAUGGGCGUGCGUCUGAUUAGGUAGUUGGCGGGGUAACGGCCCACCAAGCCUUCGAUCAGUAGCUGAUGUGAGAGCAGGAUCAGCCACACGGGCACUGAGACACGGGCCCGACUCCUACGGGAGGCAGCAGUAAGGAAUAUUGGUCAAUGGACGCAAGUCUGAACCAGCCAUGCCGCGUGGAGGAUGAAGGCCCUCUGGGUUGUAAACUUCUUUUCUUUGGGACGAAACCCCUGUUUCUACGGGGACUGACGGUACCAGAGGAAUAAGCACCGGCUAACUCCGUGCCAGCAGCCGCCGUAACAC